AGAUAAUCCCGAUAUAAAAGACAACGGCGACGAUAGGUGGGACGGAACAAAAGUAAAUGGAACACGAGAUGGGAUAAAAAUCCAGCGAGAUA